ensembl:snRNA U6 U6 spliceosomal RNA
GUACUCACUUUGGCAACACAAAUACUAGGAGUGAAAUGAUACAAAGAUUAAUAUGGCCUAUGCACACGGAUGGAAUGCAAAUUUGUGAUGCAUUCCGUAUGUUU